CUCGUAGGCGGUCCAUCGCGUCGGGAGUGAAAAGCUGGGGCUUAACCCCAGUCCUGCUUCCGAUACGGGUGGACUAGAGGUAGGCAGGGGAGAACGGAAUUCCUGGUGUAGCGGUGAAAUGCGCAGAUAUCAGGAGGAACACCGGUGGCGAAGGCGGUUCUCUGGGCCUUACCUGACGCUGAGGAGCGAAAGCAUGGGGAAGCAAACA
rnacentral:rRNA from 1 species